rnacentral:rRNA from 1 species
AUUGAACGCUGGCGGCAGGCCUAACACAUGCAAGUCGAGCGAGCGGCGGACGGGUGAGUAAAGUAUGGGGACUGCCCGAUAGAGGGGGAUAACUACUGUAAACGGUAGCUAAAACCGCAUAUUAUCGGAUAACCCAUAUGGGAGUAGCUGGUAGGUGAGGUAAUGGCCCUCAUAGGCGACGAUCCCUAGCUGGUCUGAGAGGCGGAUCAGCACAACGGAAAUUGGAACACGCCCCGAACUCGUACGGAGGCAGCAGGGGGGAAUAUUGCACAUUGGGCGCAGCCCUGAUGCAGCCAUCCCGCGUGUAUGAAGAAGGCCCUAGGGUUGUAAAGUACUUUCGGUCGGGAGACGUUCCCGACAGAGAAAGCACCGGCUAACUCCGUGCCAGCAGCCGCGGUAAUA